rnacentral:snRNA from 1 species
AUCGCUUCUCGGCCUUUUGGCUAAGAUCAAGUGUAAAUCUUUUAUCCAUCUUGAAUCAAUGUUUUUAAGUGGUGAAAGGUGUAGUACCAGUUGCAAUUUUUUACAUGUGGCUAUCCAGUUCUCCCAGCACCAUUGAAUAGAGAUUCUUUUC